rfam:Triticum urartu cultivar G1812 contig263361, whole genome shotgun sequence.
AUAUUACUCCCUCCGUUCCAAAUUACUCGUCGCAGAAAUGGAUAUAUCUAAAACUAAAAUACAUCUAGAUACAUCUAUACUUGCGACAAGUAAUUCAAAACGGAGGGAGUACGUA